UUCCCUAGCAAGCGGUGUGUGCAAUGGGCAGCAACUGAGUGAAACCCAACUGUAUGUCACCUGUCACUUAUGAGCACAGAACAUAGAGGAAGCUGAGAAGAACCUGAUUUAGGGGUCAUUACUUCCCAAUGGUAGCUGAAAUGAUUAAUGUACAACAGAAGUGAACUCUUGAAUUCUCAUUACAAGAAAACUUAGGGCUGAAAACACAAGACAAUAUUGCUAUCUUCAUUCAAUUCCUCUGGAAAGGAUUGGAAAAUAAAUGUUGGAAUAAGUC